rnacentral:rRNA from 1 species
GUCCACGCCGUAAACGAUGGGUGCUAGGUGUCGCGGGCUUUGACCCCUGCGGUGCCGUAGCUAACGCAUUAAGCACCCCGCCUGGGGAGUACGGCCGCAAGGCUAAAACUCAAAGGAAUUGACGGGGCCCGCACAAGCGGUGGAGCAUGUGGUUCAAUUCGACGCAACGCGCAGAACCUUACCUGGGCUAGAAAGUGCAGGAACUUGGUUGAAAAUCGAGGUGCUCUUCGGAGAACCUGCAGUUAGGUGCUGCAUGGCUGUCGU